rnacentral:tRNA from 1 species
GGGGCUGUAGCUCAGCGGGAGAGCGCUCGCCUGGCGUGCGAGAGGUCGUGGGUUCGAAUCCCACCAGCUCCACCA